AGAGCCCACAAAAAGACCCCCUGGCAGGGUACAAAAAAAAAUUCUGACAAAUUAGCAAAACAGAAAAAUGCACAAAAAAAAACCCUGCAUAAAGUCUUUCAGCACUUUAGAGUGUGGAUGAAUGACAUAAAGACUUCAUUUUGGAAAAUAAGCAGGAUUAGAAACAUCAGUGGAACUAAAGUCCCCCCCUAACAUCCUUCAAAGAAACUUAUAGGUAUUAACAGUGUUGUAGUCAAGACCACUGAGACAAGACCAAGACUUUUAGGGUCCGAGACCAAGUCAAGACCAAGACCGAGGGAAGUCGAGACCGAGUCAAGACCAGCGCCAGCGUCCUGUAUUAGGGUGGUGAAUUCCCGUCCCCACCUUUUCAAGGUCUCAGCAGCAACCACCUGCAAUGUGGCCAACAUGCAGCCUUUUAUAGUUCCUGGCUGCUCCAAUUAACAAACCCACCAAGAAACAGGGUCAAACAAAAUACAUACACACAAACAAACUUGACAAAAACAACCAAAUCUUCAGAAUAAUUAUAUGUUAGCAAAUACUAUUCAUUUUAAAGCAGACAUUUCAUUUCUAAAAAGACAUUUCUAUAAAUAUAAAUCCAACAUUAGACUUCUAAAGUGCACAGUUCUACUCCCCCCCCCCCCCCCCCCCUCCUCCAUAUGCAUUGGUUUCUUCUGGAACCUUUAAAAGGUGUUCGGCCCCCAGGGGAAUCUUUUAGCCUGAACACCUUGCAGAGGAGGAGACAGAGGACACCAUCAGUUCCAGCUGAGAUGCCACUGCAUAAAAACACACAAUCAAUAAAAUACUUCAAUCUGUUUGUACCUGUUUCUUUUAUCAUUCAACACAUUUUAAGUGCUUCCAGCUAAGUAACGAAGACCUUCAUUACAGUUAAGCUAAAUGAAAAAUAUGUACUUCAUAGUACAAACCACAGGGUGGAAAUAGCAAUACAAGUGAUUUUAUCAUUACAUAUUAUUUUUCCAUGAUGAUAGGUGAGGCUCUGCCUCCCCUGACCGCACCUCACUGCAAUUGAGGCAAUGCCCUCACAGUAAACAACGCUCAACUAUGAACACUGACCAAAGAGCAACAAUCAAGAAGUAACCAAGCACAAGGCGCUCAGCAUGACUGAGUCUUGGAGAGCCGCUGAGUGAAAGGUGGGGACGGGGGAGUAAAGUUAUUGCUUGGAUUUGAAUCGGUGGGUUGUACAGCACGUUGGACAGUAUGCUGGAAGUUUAGUGAUAUUUCCACAGUUGCGGUCUUAAAAUAAAAUCCCGAGUCCUCAGCGCCCGAGACCAUCAAAAAAUGGUCUCCAGACCAAGACCGGUCUCGAGUACUACAACACUGGUAUUAACAGCUAAAAAAUUUAAAUAAUAAUAAUUAAAUAAUCAUCAUCUGGGGAACUAUUCAAUUCAAAAGUACUUCUCUGAUUGCAAAAAGAAUGCUGAGAGCUGAAUCUUUUGCCUAAAAAGUGCUGAAAUAUUUGAAGUCAAUUGCAGAAAACUUGUGAAAAUUGAAUAAGUUAGCCAAAAUGUUACAUGAGCAAAGCUUUAGGCUGAUCUGCUUAAAUGGCUAAAAACAGCCAAACAAGCUGAAAUGACCACAAAACUACUUGUUUACAGUUGCAGAAAUGUAAAUACAGGCGGACGGGUAAAGAAACAAACAAACAAGAAAACUUCAUAGAAGAUAUAUUGAAAAAUCCCAACAGUUUGAAACAAAUUGUAAUAAAGGAUGAAUAUUUCAAACACUUAAAACAAAAAAGUAGAAUAUGAUGGUGAAACUUGCACCAGACUCCUCGCAUUUAACUUUGUAGAGUAAAAAAAAAGAUAUUAAAAUGUAAAAUAAAUGGCAGAAACAUUUAAAGAACUGCCACCAGAUAAAGUUAAGAA